rnacentral:rRNA from 1 species
UACGUAGGGCGCAAGCGUUGUCCGGAAUUAUUGGGCGUAAAGAGCUCGUAGGCGGUUUGUCGCGUCUGCUGUGAAAACCUAAGGCUCAACCUUGGGCUUGCAGUGGGUACGGGCAGACUAGAGUGCGGUAGGGGUGACUGGAAUUCCUGGUGUAGCGGUGGAAUGCGCAGAUAUCAGGAGGAACACCGAUGGCGAAGGCAGGUCACUGGGCCGCAAACUGACGCUGGAGGAGCGAAAGCAUGGGGAGCAAACAGG